GACGAACGCUGGCGGCGUGCCUAAUACAUGUAAGUAGAACGCUGAAGGAGGAGCUUGCUUCUCUGGAUGAGUUGCGAACGGGUGAGUAACGCGUAGGUAACCUGCCUGGUAGCGGGGGAUAACUAUUGGAAACGAUAGCUAAUACCGCAUAAUAGUGGAUGUUGCAUGACAUUUGCUUAAAAGGUGCAAUUGCAUCACUACCAGAUGGUCCUGCGUUGUAUUAGCUAGUUGGUGGGGUAACGGCUCACCAAGGCGACGAUACAUAGCCGACCUGAGAGGGUGAUCGGCCACACUGGGACUGAGACACGGCCCAGACUCCUACGGGAGGCAGCAGUAGGGAAUCUUCGGCAAUGGACGGAAGUCUGACCGAGCAACGCCGCGUGAGUGAAGAAGGUUUUCGGAUCGUAAAGCUCUGUUGUAAGAGAAGAACGAGUGUGAGAGUGGAAAGUUCACACUGUGACGGUAUCUGACCAGAAAGGGACGGCUAACUACGUG
rnacentral:rRNA from 1 species